rnacentral:rRNA from 1 species
GUGGGGAAUUUUGGACAAUGGGCGCAAGCCUGAUCCAGCAAUGCCGCGUGCAGGAAGAAGGCCUUCGGGUUGUAAACUGCUUUUGUACGGAACGAAACGGUCCUGGCUAAUAUCCGGGGCUAAUGACGGUACCGUAAGAAUAAGCACCGGCUAACUACGUGCCAGCAGCCGCGGUAAUACGUAGGGUGCGAGCGUUAAUCGGAAUUACUGGGCGUAAAGCGUGCGCAGGCGGUGCUGUAAGACAGGCGUGAAAUCCCCGGGCUCAACCUGGGAAUUGCGCUUGUGACUGCAGUGCUGGAGUGCGGCAGAGGGGGAUGGAAUUCCGCGUGUAGCAGUGAAAUGCGUAGAUAUGCGGAGGAACACCGAUGGCGAAGGCAAUCCCCUGGGCCUGCACUGACGCUCAUGCACGAAAGCGUGGGAAGCAAACAGGAUUAGAAACCCGGGUAGUCC